rnacentral:rRNA from 1 species
UACGAAGGGGGCUAGCGUUGUUCGGAUUUACUGGGCGUAAAGCGCACGUAGGCGGCUAUUUAAGUUAGGGGUGAAAUCCCAGAGCUCAACUCUGGAACUGCCUCUAAUACUGGGUAUCUAGAGUUCGAGAGAGGUGAGUGGAAUUCCGAGUGUAGAGGUGAAAUUCGUAGAUAUUCGGAGGAACACCAGUGGCGAAGGCGGCUCACUGGCUCGAUACUGACGCUGAGGUGCGAAAGCGUGGGGAGCAAACAGG